AUUGAACGCUGGCGGCAGGCCUAACACAUGCCAGUCGAGCGGUAGAGAGAAGCUUGCUUCUCUUGAGAGCGGCGGACGGGUGAGUAAUGCCUAGGAAUCUGCCUGGUAGUGGGGGAUAACGUUCGGAAACGGACGCUAAUACCGCAUACGUCCUACGGGAGAAAGCAGGGGACCUUCGGGCCUUGCGCUAUAAGAUGAGCCUAGGUCGGAUUAGCUAGUUGGUGGGGUAAUGGCUCACCAAGGCGACGAUCCGUAACUGGUCUGAGAGGAUGAUCAGUCACACUGGAACUGAGACACGGUCCAGACUCCUACGGGAGGCAGCAGUGGGGAAUAUUGGACAAUGGGCGAAAGCCUGAUCCAGCCAUGCCGCGUGUGUGAAGAAGGUCUUCGGAUUGUAAAGCACUUUAAGUUGGGAGGAAGGGCAGUAAAUUAAUACUUUGCUGUUUUGACGUUACCGACAGAAUAAGCACCGGCUAACUCUGUG
rnacentral:rRNA from 1 species